rnacentral:lncRNA from 1 species
CUUCAACAUAUACUCAUGUGAUCCUGUUUUAUAAAGAAGGGUAUGGAAUGAUGAACUACUGUAAUGUUAAUAUAUAAAAGAAAAUUUGACAGCUUAACUACUGUUUAUCUAGCAAAAUCCCCAUAGUAACUGUAAACUUCUCGUUAAAAGAAUUGCUCAUAUGUUUAGUGUUGCCUGUUACUUCAUUGGAAAACUAUAGUAUUUUUCUGGUGCAGAAAGAUAUUUUUGCUCUAUUGAGUAUCAUUGGUUAGUUGUAAGUUUGUUUUGUGUAUAUGACAUUAUUUUGUUGCAAAUGCAGACAUUUUAAAAUAGAGGUAUAUUUUUCAGUAUAGCUCAUAUCAGAUUAUAUGUAGGAAUGUUUAGCAUUAGUAGUUAAAUAUAGAAGCAGUAUUGAUGUUACAUUUGUUGUUGUCCUGUCAUAAA